rnacentral:lncRNA from 1 species
GCACCUUAGGGAGCAUUGUCGGGGCCUACAACACCAAAAUCGGCUCGGGAACGGACUCCGACGGUACGUCGGAUUCCCUCGCGGGUGCAGAUGGAGCAACUGCCUGACCCUUUUUCGACGGUCGGGAGGGUCUAGCUUCGGAUACUGUCUUCUUCUUGGCAGCAUGCUGACGAAUAUCGGCAGCUGAUACUCGUACCUUUGACUGCAUAGUUGCAAUCAGAACAAAGAAGUCAGCACAAUUCAAAAACAAACAAAGUAAAAAAAAUAAAAGUAGUCAACUAUGCUAUACCUAAGGAAGUGGUCGAACUAAGCCCGGCAUAGUAGAGAGCUUGUUCGGUCAUCAGCUCUCUCUGUGGUGAAACUGUCAUGUCCUUCAGUUGGUGAAAAUCUUCUCGAUCAUUGACUUCCAUCAGAUUAUUCUUGUUGGGGCCGGUCCUUGGAUCACCCCAGCAUGAAGGAAAGCCCCAAGAAAAAGGAGAAGAAACAAAAAA